UUCUCCAUAGAAAAAUUCAGAAAUAUUUCUCCAUUUUCCGAAAUCUCGAUUUCUUUCCCGAAAUAUAGUCAAAUCCUGCAUUUCUCGACAUUUUCUGAGAAAAAUAUUCUCCAAAUUUCAUCAGCUCAAAUUCUUUGUGAUUUUCUCCCAUAAAUUCCCCAUUUUUCAUUUUUUUGUUGUCUGAAAAAUGAGUGGGAAAAUAUCUCUGCUUCUUUGGAGGCAGCUGGCGGCCGCGGGCCCACAAGCCACACGCUCCUUCUCUUCCUUGGCCGUCCGUACACUUUCCGGCGGCGUGCUGCACAAUGCAACCGGAGUUCCGGGUUGUGCUUUCAAUGGUGGUGGCGGCGAGCCCGUACGAGUCCCGGGCUUGUGGACUAGGGUGGUACCGGCUCGCGCCGGUUCCACGGUGCCUGGAGUGGUGGGGGAGGAGGCGGAGGUGACUGUUUCAGCCGGUAGCAAUGGGAAGGACGAGAAGGCGGUGGCGAGUUAUUGGGGAGUCCCGCCUGAGAAGAUUACGAAGGAUGACGGUACUGAGUGGAAAUGGCACUGUUUCAGGCCAUGGGAAACAUAUAGAGCAGACUUGUCGAUUGAUCUAGAGAAGCACCAUGCUCCCACCACCUUCUUGGACAAGGUGGCCUUUUGGACCGUCAAAGCUAUGAGACUCCCAACCGACAUUUUCUUCCAGAGGAGAUAUGGAUGCCGUGCCAUGAUGCUCGAGACGGUGGCGGCGGUGCCGGGCAUGGUGGGCGGAAUGCUUUUACACUGUAAAUCCCUUCGUCGAUUCGAGCAGAGUGGUGGGUGGAUCAAAGCCCUGUUAGAAGAGGCAGAGAACGAGCGCAUGCAUCUGAUGACUUUCAUGGAAGUGGCUCAGCCCAAGUGGUAUGAGAGGGCCCUGGUCAUCACAGUUCAGGGGGUCUUCUUCAAUGCAUAUUUCCUCAUGUAUUUGAUUUCUCCGAAGUUGGCUCAUAGAGUAGUUGGGUACUUGGAGGAGGAGGCCAUACACUCUUACACUGAGUUCUUGAAGGAGUUGGAUAAUGGGAAUAUAAAGAAUGUGCCGGCCCCUGCAAUUGCAUUGGACUAUUGGAGGUUGCCGAAGGGAUCGACCUUGAGAGAUGUGGUCAUGGUGGUCAGGGCUGAUGAGGCGCACCACAGGGAUGUUAAUCACUUUGCAUCCGAUAUCCAUUAUCAAGGCCGGGAACUUCGAGAAACUCCAGCACCUCUUGACUAUCACUAAUUUCAUGUAGCUAAAGUGGAAUAGAGUCGAGGACAUGUUCUUAUAUUGAAGUUUUGCUAGAGAAAUUCAUAACAAGGAAUCGACUCGGGCAGGUACUUGCAUCGGGCCAAUGGACUAGUCCAUGUCAAGCUCGAUACCUUUUAGACAGGAGAAAAUCCCAAAAAAAACGGGAAUAUGCUAAAAAUAUAAGUUGUUGGCCUCAAAAAAUUGCGGGGUACGAAAUUACUGUUUUCUUUUAAUAGAAAUGCAUAAUUUUAAGCCAAGAAUCUCAUUUUGUAGCCUGAGGAACAAGUUUCAAUCGAAGCAAAAAAUGAGGGACAAAUCGAUGGCAGAUAGUUUUGGGCUUGUUCUGAAAAACCUUCUCUCGCUACAAUUGAGAUUUUUUGGGCCCGGUCUCUCGAUUUCUUUGAAUCCAACAAAUAAAUAUGGGGAUCUUGUAGAGGACUGAAUCAAGAACAAAUCGAAUCAGGCUUCAAUGGAUUUGAAAGGAAUUGUGAUUCAUCUUCGCCAUUUGUCGUAACAACAAAAGAUCGAGACUAGAUACAGCAUACAGGUGGGCAAUUGGCAGGCAGUCUGGUCAGCCCGGCCCUAAAAUACUAGUGCAUGGGCCACAUUCACAAUGUGGCCCCAGGGUUGGGCCACCUUGAGCCUGGGUCUGGCGAUACUUUUUACCUCAACCCUUUUUCCCUUAUUAUUUUUUAUUUGAUUAUUUUGGCCCAACCUUGAUAGGCCCUAAGCAAGGGGCUGUUUGACCUUAGCCCCGGCCUGGGCCAGGCCAAACUUGGGCCAUCCUUAUAGGGACAAGGACUGGGCUAAGGCUAGAGCUAGCCCGGUCCUUGCCUAUGUGUUAUGGGUUACAUUGCCAAUUGUUUUCCCAAAUGGACAUCACUGCAAAAGUUCCACUUGUGGCUUUGAUAACCAAAUGGGUAUUUUUUGUGCCAGCAACUUAAGUUGGGCCAACUUAUUAAAUCUCCUACUUUUAUUAGGUUCCUAAUUCUGAACAUCAGCAAUA